rnacentral:rRNA from 1 species
GAUGAACGCUGGCGGCGUGCCUAAUACAUGCAAGUCGAGCGAACAGACGAGGAGCUUGCUCCUCUGACGUUAGCGGCGGACGGGUGAGUAACACGUGGAUAACCUACCUAUAAGACUGGGAUAACUUCGGGAAACCGGAGCUAAUACCGGAUAAUAUAUUGAACCGCAUGGUUCAAUAGUGAAAGACGGUUUUGCUGUCACUUAUAGAUGGAUCCGCGCCGCAUUAGCUAGUUGGUAAGGUAACGGCUUACCAAGGCAACGAUGCGUAGCCGACCUGAGAGGGUGAUCGGCCACACUGGAACUGAGACACGGUCCAGACUCCUACGGGAGGCAGCAGUAGGGAAUCUUCCGCAAUGGGCGAAAGCCUGACGGAGCAACGCCUCGUGAGUGAUGAAGGUCUUCGGAUCGUAAAACUCUGUUAUUAGGGAAGAACAAAUGUGUAAGUAACUAUGCACGUCUUGACGGUACCUAAUCAGAAAGCCACGGCUAACUACGUG